GAUGAACGCUGGCGGCGUGCCUAAUACAUGCAAGUCGAGCGAACAGACGAGGAGCUUGCUCCUCUGACGUUAGCGGCGGACGGGUGAGUAACACGUGGAUAACCUACCUAUAAGACUGGGAUAACUUCGGGAAACCGGAGCUAAUACCGGAUAAUAUAUUGAACCGCAUGGUUCAAUAGUGAAAGACGGUUUUGCUGUCACUUAUAGAUGGAUCCGCGCCGCAUUAGCUAGUUGGUAAGGUGACGGCUUACCAAGGCAACGAUGCGUAGCCGACCUGAGAGGGUGAUCGGCCACACUGGAACUGAGACACGGUCCAGACUCCUACGGGAGGCAGCAGUAGGGAAUCUUCCGCAAUGGGCGAAAGCCUGACGGAGCAACGCCGCGUGGGUGAUGAAGGUCUUCGGAUCGUAAAACUCUGUUAUUAGGGAAGAACAAAUGUGUAAGUAACUAUGCACGUCUUGACGGUACCUAAUCAGAAAGCCACGGCUAACUACGUG
rnacentral:rRNA from 1 species